AAAAUAUUUACUUUUCAUUGUUCUGCCAUACUGUGAAAGAUCUGAAGAUGAGCCCAGUGACAGACUGUAUUUCUGUUGCCCAAGACCAGACUUGCUGCAUUUGGAGAAGUCCAUUGCCCAGUGAUUGGCCAUAGAAUGAUGACUUAUGAAAGACAAAAGUGGUAGAUUUAAUUUGAUUUGGAUCAACCAUUAAAAAUUCCAGUUAGUUUACUACAUGUUCUUGCCUCCCUUGAUUUUAAGGGCUGAAGUCAUAAAACCUAGAUCUUCUGUGGUACAGUGGAACUUGGAAACAUUUUUAAUUAUCUAUUCUCAAGGAUUCAAAGAGUAA
rnacentral:lncRNA from 1 species